rnacentral:rRNA from 1 species
AGAGUUUGAUCAUGGCUCAGGACGAACGCUGGCGGCGUGCCUAACACAUGCAAGUCGAACGGAGUUGAAUUCGACACCAAAUGCUCAAACGCUUCGGAAAGCAAGCGUAAUCAUCGCGGAGCGAAGAUGAAGCGAAAAAAAGCUUGACUGACACAAGGAAAAGAAGAGGCGGCGAGAAGAGCAAUUGGUGUUGAAUUCAACUGAGUGGCGGACGGGUGAGUAACGCGUGAGCAACCUGCCUUAAAGAGGGGGAUAACGUUUGGAAACGAACGCUAAUACCGCAUAUGAUCUUGGCAUCGCAUGGUGCAGAGAUGAAAGGAGCAAUCCGCUUUAAGAUGGGCUCGCGUCCGAUUAGAUAGUUGGUGGGGUAACGGCCUACCAAGUCGACGAUCGGUAGCCGGACUGAGAGGUUGAACGGCCACAUUGGGACUGAGACACGGCCCAGACUCCUACGGGAGGCAGCAGUGGGGGAUAUUGCACAAUGGGGGAAACCCUGAUGCAGCGACGCCGCGUGAGCGAAGAAGGUUUUCGGAUCGUAAAGCUCUGUCCUUUGGGAAGAAAAAAAUGACGGUACCAAAGGAGGAAGCCCCGGCUAACUACGUG